UUUAGAGGCCACCAGAGUAAGAUUAAACCAAGAAGUGAUUGGUUACAGCUUUAAGAAGUCAUCUGACCCAAUGAGACUGGAUGCAAUCCCCUAGGAAGAAGGUGCAGAUAAAAACAACCAACCAACCAAAUAAACAGCCAAGGUUCUACUUCUGGACCCUUCAUUAUUUAGAGACCUUGCAGGGGAAAAAGAGUCAGAAACUGAAAAGGAAACUGAAAAGAAGCUCCCAGUAAGGAAAGAAAAAAAUUAGGCAUUUAAAAAUAUUAUACUCAGAAGUGAUCCAUUCAUCAGACUGUCAAAGGGGUCUAUGGCACAGUAAAGUCACAAGCCCUGAUCUGCCUGGAAGUUAUGGAAGUUGCCAAGAAGAAGAGGAGUAGUGAAGGAUGAAGACGUGAGCCCAGUGCUAUUUCUUACCAAAUGCUCUGGUCGCAUCUCACCUAUUUAUUUAUAUAAAGGUCAUAUUUAGUAAACAAA